UUCGGGUUGUAAACCGCUUUCAGCAGGGAAGAAGCGAAAGUGACGGUACCUGCAGAAGAAGCACCGGCUAACUAUGUGCCAGCAGCCGCGGUAAUACAUAGGGUGCAAGCGUUGUCCGGAAUUAUUGGGCGUAAAGAGCUCGUAGGUGGUUCGUCACGUCGGAUGUGAAAAUCUGGGGCUUAACCCCAGACCUGCAUUCGAUACGGGCGAGCUUGAGUAUGGUAGGGGAGUCUGGAAUUCCUGGUGUAGCGGUGGAAUGCGCAGAUAUCAGGAGGAACACCAAUGGCGAAGGCAGGACUCUGGGCCAUUACUGACACUGAGGAGCGAAAGCGUGGGGAGCGAACAGGAUUAGAUACCCUGGUAGUCCACGCCGUAAACGGUGGGCACUAGUUGUGGGGACCUUCCACGGUCUCUGCGACGCAGCUAACGCAUUAAGUGCCCCGCCUGGGGAGUACGAUCGCAAGAUUAAAACUCAAA
rnacentral:rRNA from 1 species